GAAGGGCGCUAUGGGUGCGGGGAUGUGUGCGCGAGGGCGGCCCCGAGGCUUUGGCGCUGAGGCUUUGGCGCUGAGCCACCACCGCGGGAUUUUGGCUAUGCCACUUCUGCAAUGAAUAUAAGAGAGUGUUAAAAAAAAAAGAUACCGGCCAAACUGCGAAGAGUUCUUAUAUAAUCUGCAAAGAGAAAAUACAAGAAAACACACGAUACAAAGAGGAGCUUUCAGCAUAAGAGCCAAAAACGGGGAAUGUACACUUUCAACAGAGGAGAGAGGCAGAGACAGAGGAAGAAAAGAAUAGUGAAGACUUUGGCAGAAAAAAUUUGGCAUUCUAAAAUCGGUAAUAUAUGAACCUCCUCAACUGAAUAACUGCACAAUAUUUUCAUAUAUUUACCAUUUCAAAUGUCUGCAUUUGAAUGAGAGUGACUUUUAUAUUUAUCUUUUUAUGUCUGGUCUUAUUUUUUGACAUUAAAUAUUUGCGUUGUGUGUGCUAACUGAACUUUGGAAAGUACACCUCAAAUACAGUGACAAUGGUGGUUCUGUGAGGCUUGCUGAGAUUACCAAAGUUCUGUGUCCUUUGGAUAAGAUCGUUUCAUGUCUCUUUUUUUGGAAUAUUUGCCUGUUUUCCUAAAAUACUAAAUAGCCUAUGUCAAAUUCUGGUCUUCAGGGCAGCAAAAGUGCCCUGCUUUGGGAGCACCAAUUAGUUGUGCAAUGGGGAGCAGUAGUAGUUCAUUGCUCUGUGUCUGUGUGCCAUUGUCUGUUGCUGUUCCUUCGUAUUCUCCGUGAUUUGUUUGGCAGCACAUUAAGAAGUCUUAUUUAGUGGCUCAUUUAAAAGAACAAUGUACUUGAGUUUGCUGAGGAAAUAACUACUACUUCUAAUUUGAAGAUCCUGAUUGCCCCAACGUGAGUCCCCCAAAAGUUGAUUGCCUUAUGCACUAACACCCAGUGGAAGAAGAAUCUGUGCUACAAAUAGUUGCCACAUCAGAAAUAAUUCAAAACUGCAAGAAAGAGAAAAAUAAAAAAUAACUGAAGCUCCAGACAAAUUGGCAGGCUGGGUUGUGUAAAUAAAAUGGCCAGCUAAUUGUAUUCCCUGGUGAAUCCAGUCCAAAUGGACCAGACGGGUUGAGUGCAUAAUAGAACACAUGCACCACAGUUUGAAAAUCUCUGGGAAUACUGAGCUGUCUUGUGCUACCCCUGAUGGAGCUGAAAUUGUAGUGAACAGAAUGCUGGAACCAUGUUGUAUUAUCAGAGGACGUGGAACCACUUAUUUGAACUAAACACUUAGUGCUGUCAUGCUGGUGUGACAGAAAAUGGCACUAAAGCACAGCUGAGUGGCUAUUUUUGUCUGGGUAAAUACUCCAGUUUGUCAAGCUCUGUCUUUAGAUCUGCUAAAGCACAAAGGUAGAGUUCACAAUUAGACAUUAACAACUUUAUAUUAUGUUAGCUCAGGAAGAAGAAUCACCUCAUUCCUUUUCUUUUCUAUGUGCAAUUGUAAAUGUCUAGUAAAUUAAAGAAGUGGGUCUCAGAUGAUUC